GAGAAACUCGCGGAUUCUUCCACUGACCGCUGCAGCACACCUGCACCAGGCUGCGUCUGGCUUCCAUUAACCAUGACUUCAGCUUGGUAAGGUGACAGGCUCCUCCCUUUUUUCUGGUGCUAUGCACAUGUGCAAUGUGGAUAAACAGCUGGUCUGACAGUAACCUGAUGAAAAACCAGCAUGCGAGGCAAGCUCCUGCUGGCUCUGCUUUUACUGCUUUGAGUGCAAAGGGAACAAUGAACUACUGCAAGGAGCACACUUACGAUUCAGCAAAAGGUCCAAACAUGAGGGAACCAACAAGAACUCCAGCCAUGAACAUUGCUUGAAUCACUUCCACCAAGCUGGCCUGGCCACACACUAGAUCAAACUGAGACACCGUACUAGCUGCAAAAGACUGAGAACACAGUAAAACAGUGAAGGAAGGCAAAAAUUAUAAAGUAAAUAAAGGCUUAAGCAUUCACUGGGUGCUGGUCUUUAAUCUGGGGAAGCUCUGCUCUUUCUCCUCACUCCUGUAAAAAAGCUGACCCCAAAAAGCAGAGAAAGAGUAAUGCUCUGGUUCAGAAUGUGAUUUUGAAGAGGUGUUGUUUGUAAUGUAAUAAAGAGCGUUUGCAUGUAAUCAGGAAUGAUCAUACAGUUUAUAACGUAUGUGUGAACACUGAAGAGGUCAGUGAAUAAAACUGUGACUAAGGUGAAACUAAAGGAUUGUUCACUUUAUGCCGUGUUAGCACACUUAAGG